CCUUUGACGUUAGCGGCGGACGGGUGAGUAACACGUGGGUAACCUACCUAUAAGACUGGGAUAACUUCGGGAAACCGGAGCUAAUACCGGAUAAUAUUUCGAACCGCAUGGUUCGAUAGUGAAAGAUGGUUUUGCUAUCACUUAUAGAUGGACCCGCGCCGUAUUAGCUAGUUGGUAAGGUAACGGCUUACCAAGGCGACGAUACGUAGCCGACCUGAGAGGGUGAUCGGCACACUGGAACUGAGACACGGUCCAGACUCCUACGGGAGGCAGCAGCG
rnacentral:rRNA from 1 species